rnacentral:rRNA from 1 species
GACGAACGCUGGCGGCGUGCCUAACACAUGCAAGUCGAACGGAACUGUUUUGAAAGAUUUCUUCGGAAUGAAUUUGAUUUAGUUUAGUGGCGGACGGGUGAGUAACGCGUGAGUAACCUGCCUUCAAGAGGGGGAUAACAUUCUGAAAAGGAUGCUAAUACCGCAUGACAUAUCGGAACCACAUGGUUUUGAUAUCAAAGAUUUUAUCGCUUGAAGAUGGACUCGCGUCCGAUUAGUUAGUUGGUGAGGUAACGGCUCACCAAGACCGCGAUCGGUAGCCGGACUGAGAGGUUGAACGGCCACAUUGGGACUGAGACACGGCCCAGACUCCUACGGGAGGCAGCAGUGGGGGAUAUUGCGCAAUGGGGGCAACCCUGACGCAGCAACGCCGCGUGAAGGAUGAAGGUUUUCGGAUUGUAAACUUCUUUUAUUAAGGACGAAAAAUGACGGUACUUAAUGAAUAAGCUCCGGCUAACUACGUGCCAGCAGCCGCGGUAAUACGUAGGGAGCAAGCGUUGUCCGGAUUUACUGGGUGUAAAGGGUGCGUAGGCGGCUUUGCAAGUCAGAUGUGAAAUCUAUGGGCUCAACCCAUAAACUGCAUUUGAAACUGUAGAGCUUGAGUGAAGUAGAGGCAGGCGGAAUUCCCCGUGUAGCGGUGAAAUGCGUAGAGAUGGGGAGGAACACCAGUGGCGAAGGCGGCCUGCUGG